rnacentral:lncRNA from 1 species
AUACUUGCUCUUUUCCUCAAAUUGCAAAAUUUCUAAGAAAAAAUGUUCCUCAGGUAUCAGAUGUCAACAUGAAAUCAUCAAAGAGAACAGCACAGGAAGACUGAAGACAGAAUAAAGCCUUGGCUCUGGAACUUGACCACUAUAUGCCUUCUCUGGCUCCUGGUCUCUCCAUCUGUAAGGGACAGAAGUGAAAAUGCAUUCAACUACAAGAAGAUUGUACCAGUCUACACUCCCG